rnacentral:rRNA from 1 species
UACGGAGGGUGCAAGCGUUGUUCGGAAUCACUGGGCGUAAAGGGCGUGUAGGCGGUCCGCUAAGUCUGAUGUGAAAGCCCGGGGCUCACCCCCGGAAGGGCAUUGGAAACUGGCGGACUCGAGUCUCGGAGAGGAAGGUGGAAUUCCUGGUGUAGCGGUGAAAUGCGUAGAUAUCAGGAGGAAUACCGGUGGCGAAGGCGGUCUUCUGGACGAUGACUGACGCUGAGACGCGAAAGCGUGGGGAGCAAACAGG